CAGCCGCCACGGUAAUACGGAGGGAGCUAGCGUUGUUCGGAAUUACUGGGCGUAAAGCGCGCGUAGGCGGUUACUCAAGUCAGAGGUGAAAGCCCGGGGCUCAACCCCGGAACUGCCUUUGAAACUAGGUGACUAGAAUCUUGGAGAGGUCAGUGGAAUUCCGAGUGUAGAGGUGAAAUUCGUAGAUAUUCGGAAGAACACCAGUGGCGAAGGCGACUGACUGGACAAGUAUUGACGCUGAGGUGCGAAAGCGUGGGGAGCAAACAGGAUUAGAUACCCCUGUAGUCCCUGUCUCUUAUAC
rnacentral:rRNA from 1 species